CCAAUGGUGGUAUAGUGGUUAGCAUAAUUGCCUUCCAAGCAAUUGACCCGAGUUCGGUUCUCGGCUAUCGCA
rfam:Daphnia pulex DAPPTscaffold_243_Cont7724, whole genome shotgun sequence.